GAUGAACGCUGGCGGCGUGCUUAAUACAUGCAAGUCGAACGGACAGGCGAUGAUCUUGCGGGGCGCACGAGUGGCGAACGGGUGAGUAAAACACGAGUAUAAUGCCCCUGACAUUGGGAUAAAUCUAGGAAAAUGGGGCUCUUAUCGGGUAGGAGCUCCUGAUGCACGGUGGGGGUCGGAAAGAUACGGUGGUUGGGGAUAGACUCGCGGCUUAUCAGCUUGUUGGUGAAGUAGUGGCUUACAAAGGCUUCGAAGGGUAGCCGGCCUGAGAGGGUGACCGGCCACAUUAGUACUGAGAUACGGCCCAGACGCCAACCGGAGGCAGCGGUGGGAAAUAUUGCACAAUAGGCGGAAGCCUGAUGCAACAGCGCCGCGUGCGUGAUGACGUCCUACGAGUUGUAAACCGCUGUCGCCGGUGACGAAGCCGUAGUGACGGUAAUUGGUAAGGAAGCACCGGCUAACUACGUG
rnacentral:rRNA from 1 species